UCUUCCUUAAUCUCUUUUCAGACAGAGUGAUCCUUUGAAUCCUGGGGACAGAGGUUGUUUGCCCACACUUGGGAUUAAUUCUUGUCUGCUUGGAGAUCUGCAGCAAACUUUAAAAUUCCAGACAUGUAAAUAGCCUUGGGUGUCUUACAUUGGCCAGGACUGCAAAGCAAUUCCAGAAUUCCUUGGGACAAAAUACGGACACAUCGCAAAAAGGCUGGACCUCAGCUUCAAUUUAUUAAGAUGUUUAUUGUGGACCAACUGAAAUUAUGGAUUGGAUUGAGACAGACCUAUCU
rnacentral:lncRNA from 1 species